CCCUUAGAUGUUCUGGGCGGCCCGCGCACUACAAUGGCGUGUGCAGCGAGUGCCGAAGUAGAGUUUUCCGAGGUAUUCUUGCAAUGCUCGUUUUGAUGGGGAUAGACCCUUGCAACUGUUGGUUUUGAACGAGGAAUUCCUUGUAAGCAUGGUUUAUCAUCCGACGCUGAAUACGUCCCUGCCCUUUGUACACACCGCCCGUCGCUCCUACCGAUGAGUCGUCCGGUGAAGUUCGUAGACCUCGUGAUCGCGGAUCACUGGGGGAAGCAAAAUGAACCUCGCGGUUUAGAGGAAGGAGAAGUCGUAACA
rnacentral:rRNA from 1 species